rnacentral:sRNA from 1 species
UGGACUGCGUUGAAGACUGAAAUGCUCUGUUUAUCAACAGAACAGAUACAGCCCGGGAAGCGCCAGUGUAAUGUGCCAACGUGCCUAAACCCUGACCUGGAGGGACAGCCAUUGAGGACGAGAGGUCAGUUGAGUCACAGAGUCUCGGGCCAUAAAAGCU